AGAUCAACUCCCUCUUACAGCCAAGCACCUCAAGAGGAGCUCCAACAUAAAAAGGAAACUAAAACCAGAGAUAUAGGAGAGCGGGUGGUGGUCCUCCAGAAAAACUAUCAUUAGCUUCAGAAGAAAUCGCCACCCAGUGCUCGUGUCAUGCGGAAGACUUCUGCAAGUGUACCUGAACUUCCUCACUCCCACGAUCCUCUUGUUUUGCCUGUUCCAACACCAGGGCUAUCAACUGUGUCUUCUGCACCAUCUACUUCUGUUUUUCGACUUCUAAUUUCACCCUCUGUUCCUGCCUCACCAGUCAUUGUGAGAAAAGACAAGGGGAGUUCCACAAAUAUAAAUUGUACACAAUGAAAAGAGAGCAUGAGGAGGAACUGAAAGUGAAGGCCAUAAUAUCAGCACAUACACUCAAAGAAAGA